ACCUGACUGCUAUCGGAUUGAUACUAAGCCAUGCGAGUCAUUGUAGCAAUACAAGGCAUACGGCUCAGUAACGCGUAGUCAACCUAACCUAUGGACGGGAAUAACCUCGGGAAACUGAGAAUAAUGCCCGAUAGAACAUUAUGCCUGGAAUGGUUUAUGUUCCAAAUGAUUUAUCGCCAUAGGAUGGGACUGCGGCCUAUCAGUUUGUUGGUGAGGUAAUGGCCCACCAAGACUAUUACAGGUACGGGCUCUGAGAGGAGUAGCCCGGAGAUGGGUACUGAGACACGGACCCAGGCCCUAUGGGGCGUAGCAGGCGAGAAAACUUUGCAAUGUGCGAAAGCACGACAAGGUUAAUCCGAGUGAUUUCUGCUAAAGAGAUCUUUUGUUAGUCCUAGAAACACUAACGAAUAAGGGGUGGGCAAGUUCUGGUGUCAGCCGCCGCGGUAAAACCAGCACCUCAAGUGGUCAGGAUGAUUAUUGGGCCUAAAGCAUCCGUAGCCGGCUCUGUAAGUUUUCGGUUAAAUCUGUACGCUCAACGUACAGGCUGCCGGGAAUACUGCAGAACUAGGGAGUGGGAGAGGUAGACGGUACUCGGUAGGAAGUGGUAAAAUGCUUUGAUCUAUCGAUGACCACCUGUGGCGAAGGCGGUCUACCAGAACACGUCCGACGGUGAGGGAUGAAAGCUGGGGGAGCAAACCGGAUUAGAUACCCGGGUAGUCCCAGCUGUAAACUAUGCAAACUCAGUGAUGCAUUGGCUUGUGGCCAAUGCAGUGCUGCAGGGAAGCCGUUAAGUUUGCCGCCUGGGAAGUACGUACGCAAGUAUGAAACUUAAAGGAAUUGGCGGGGGAGCACCACAAGGGGUGAAGCCUGCGGUUC
rnacentral:rRNA from 1 species